rnacentral:rRNA from 1 species
CCUACGGGGGGCAGCAGUGGGGAAUAUUGGACAAUGGGGGGAACCCUGAUCCAGCCAUGCCGCGUGUGUGAAGAAGGCCCUCGGGUUGUAAAGCACUUUCAGUGAGGAAGAACGCCUGGUGGUUAAUACCCAUCAGGAAAGACAUCACUCACAGAAGAAGCACCGGCUAACUCCGUGCCAGCAGCCGCGGUAAUACGGAGGGUGCGAGCGUUAAUCGGAAUUACUGGGCGUAAAGCGCGCGUAGGUGGCUUGAUAAGCCGGUUGUGAAAGCCCCGGGCUCAACCUGGGAACGGCAUCCGGAACUGUCAAGCUAGAGUGCAGGAGAGGAAGGUAGAAUUCCCGGUGUAGCGGUGAAAUGCGUAGAGAUCGGGAGGAAUACCAGUGGCGAAGGCGGCCUUCUGGACUGACACUGACACUGAGGUGCGAAAGCGUGGGUAGCAAACAGGAUUAGAUACCUCUGUAGUC